rnacentral:lncRNA from 1 species
AAGAAGAAGAUCAAUUGAUGACAUUUCAUCUUCGACCACUUCUUGGAGAACAGAGGUAAUCCCAAGUAUCUGAUUGAAAUGAGCUAAGUGUAAAUUCAAUUCUAUUGAGUACUCCUUCUUUAGUCUCCCCAAUUACCUUUUUUUUUAAAUGUGGGACUUCUCCAUGUUUGCCUCUAAGCCGGUAACCUGACCUGACUAAAAUGUGUAUGUGCUUCAACAUUUUGGUCACUGACUUAACAAAAUAAAACAGUGACACAUAGAAAGCAAAUCAUUCUCUUAAUCAUGGUUUN